AACUGCUAGAGUUUAAUCCUUCACGGCCCAUUGUCUCCCCUUUCCUUCAUAUACAUCGCCCAUCUGUCCCCUUCCAUCCUUGCUUUCCAACCUUCACCAACUCCCCUCUUCUCUCAUCAGUGUCAUCUAGUCGUCCUCUUCCUCUCCUCGAUUGCGUGGUUACCGGAUCUGGACUAGCGGCACCGCUGCUGCACACGAGCAGAUCGGGAUGGCGGGAGGAAUCUUGCAGCUGAUAUAGUUCUCAAAGGAACGAUCUAAAUUUCAUUUUCCCCAAUAAAUUCAAUGCAGUUUGACAUCCGUGGCGAGAUUGACCUAUAUCUAAUUAAUAAGAGUACUCUUGCCAUCCAACAAAUGGCGAAGCAAACCGCCACUAGCGGUAGCAGCAGUUGGUGGCUUGAUCACGAACUCAGGAUAAGGAGCACUGCAUUUCUUUUCCUCAUGUGGAGGGAUGGAUCAAAGUAAAUGGACGGGAGAUUUCUGAUGGAGAGUGGCAUGGUUCAAAUUUGGGGUUAUAGUCUUAUAGAUAGGUGGUGAUAUUUCAGUUGUAGCUUGAAGGUUUUUUCCACUUACAAAAGAAGCGGAGAUGGUGGGCAUGUAUUGAAGCCAUGGACCAUUUGGGUUCCACGUGUAAACUUUCAUAUAAUCCUCUAAUAUGUGUGUUCGUCA